rnacentral:rRNA from 1 species
GAGUGAAAUCUAGAUUUUGGUAACAAUAGACUAGUAGUGAGAUCGAUAUUAAUUUUAUUGAGGCUUAGAAAUAAACCAGGAUUAGAUACCCUGUUAUACUAGGUAUAAACAAAAUUCCGCUUGAGUAGUAACAAGUUAUGAGCUCGAAACUUAAAGGAUUUGGCGGUAUUUAAGCCUGGUUAGAGGAACCUGCUCUAUAAACGAUAUGCCACGAAUAAUCUUACUUUAUCUUGUCUUCAGUUUGUAUACCUCCAUUAUAAGUUAUAUCUCUAGAAAUUCUCUAUAAUAAAAGUUUUUUAGUAUAUUAGGUCAAGGUGCAGCUAAUGAUAAAGUAGCUGUGGGUUACAAUAUAUUAUAUAUAAAUGGAUGAAUUUGUGAAACAACAGUCUGAAAUUGGAUUUAAUUGUAUUUUUAAAAUAAUAAGUUAAAAUGAUAAUAGCUCUAAAAUAUGCACACAUCGCCCGUCGCUCUCAUUACAAGGUGAGAUA